rnacentral:tRNA from 1 species
GGCCGGAUGGCGGAAUUGGCAGACGCACAGGACUUAAAAUCCUGUGUCCCGUUAGGGACGUGCGGGUUCGAUCCCCGCUCCGGCUA